GACCCACCUGAUCCCAUACCGAACUCAGAAGUGAAACCACUUAGCGCCGAUGGUAGUGUGGGGUCUCCCCAUGUGAGAGUAGGACAU
rnacentral:rRNA from 1 species